GCACACCCUCUGACGGGUCUUCCACGCGCCGGUUCCGAGUUGGAAUCCCACCCAGUCCUGUUGUUGUGAUCUCAAUUCAAGAGGAAGGUGUGAUAUGGCGUCUGUCUGGGUUGGACACCGAGGGACAAUGAGAGAUCAUCCAGGCUUUAACCCAUCUGUGGAUGCUGAGGCGAUUCAUAAGGCAGUCAGAGAAAUCGGAACUGAUGAGAAGACGCACAUCAGCAUUCUGACUGAGAGGUCGAAUGUACAGCGGCAGCUGACUGUUAAGGAAUAUCAAGCAGCAUAUGGAAAGGCUCAGCCUCUAGAGGAUCACAGAGAAGGAGGCUUGUUGUGAAACUGAGUCAGAAGGAUGCUCUUAUAGCAGACUUUCAAGACAACCCUUAGCCCGGGAUAACAACCAGAGGAUGACUGGCCUGAGAACUUGGUAUUCCAGAAAGCAGAAUUCAGGUGGCAGAACCUGUGGACCCAAAAGGAGCAGUUGCACUGGCAGGGACUAGGUGGACCUCGGGUCGCCAUGGAAAACUCUUGGUGGAGCACAGGCAAGAGUUGGGGCGGGAGGACCUGCACCCCAUAAGAAAUACCCACCAGCUCUCAGAUCCUCGAGGGUUGUAGGAGCACCGAGACAUUCAAGCUGGGAAAUGAAGACUGUGAUAGGGCAGAGCGAGACCCAAGCUUCCCCGGGCAAUGGCAGCGUGAGCUCCUGUCCAACUGCCAAAAGAUGAGAGUUGGCAUCUUACCAGAAGGUUUGGAGGGAUAGGAUGAGAGACGCCUGGCCAUUGGCCGGAAGCGCAUGGCGGGGGAGGGGGUUGCGGAAGCUGCCUCGUGAUUGGCCCGGGCCACGGGGAUGUCACAGGGAGGCAUUGUGACUUGAGGGCAAGGCAGUUAUAAAAGCCCAGUGCUUCCACCGUCUCCCAGACGGAGGAUAUGGCUUUUCAGCUGUUCCUGCUCUUGCUCUUCAAGGCGGUGUCCUCUGCCGCCUUCUCUGCACCUGCACAUGGCAUGCCCCAGGCCCACCUGUCCUGCCCCGGGCCUCUCACCCACACUUGGUGUACCACAUUCCUGUUCGCAUCCAGCUUUGAGCCCCUUUGCGGGCGGAUGAGCCUGCGCACCCGCACCCGGCGCCUCCUCCACCCGCAGCCCUCCUCGGGCCUGGCCCAGCUCCUCAACACUGUGCUCAGGUUCUACAACAGGGGCUUGGACGUCUGGAACCAGAACCAAGCAGACCCCCACGCGGAGGGGAAGCAGCCCUCCCAGCCCUGUUGGCCAAGAGACCUGGACACGUGCCACGCCUCCAACUCCACACUGCACAGAAGGCAGCUGGCCACCCCUCCUCAGACAUCCAUGGACCCCAGAUCCAAGAUCUCCACCUUGGCCCUCCUGCUCCACAAAGGAGAGUCACAGACUCACAGGGCGAGUUCCUGUACCUCCUGCCCACCUCCAUGCAACCUCUCAAAGGGCUCUCCAGCCCAUGUGGGACCACCAGCCUGGGUGAGGCGACUGGUCCAGUUAGGGCCACCAGUCCUGGCAGGGCCAAAAGUCCAGGCAAGGCGACCAGCCCAGGUGGGACCACCAGCCCAGGUGAGGACACCAGCCCAGGAAGGACCAGCAGCCCAGAUGGGACCAGUGGCCCUGGUGAUGCUACCACCACAGGUGGGACCAACAGCCCAUGUGGGGACGUUUCCCCAGGCAGGAGCAACAGCCCAAGUGGGGCCACCAAGCCUUGCGGGACCAAUGGCCCCAAUAGGGACAGCAGCCCAGGUGAUGGGGCCACUAGACCAGGCCACGACUCCAGCUGAUGCCAGGCUACCAGCCCAGGCAGGCCCAGCAUACCAGGUGGGGCCACCACUCCAGGCAAGUCCACCCGCCCAGAUGUGUCCGUCACCCCAGGCGAGGCUACCAACCCAGGUGGGGACACCAGCUCCUCUGGUGCCACCAGCCCAGUCAGGUCCACCAGCCCAGGUGGGGCCAACACCCCAGGCGGGGACACCAGCCCAGGCAGGGACACCAGGAUCGGCGAGGAUACCAGCCCAGGCGGAACCAACAUGCCAGGCCAGGCCAACAGCCCAGACGGGGACACCAGCCAUGACAGAAACCCUGUGGUCACAGCUAGGCUUUGGAAACAUUGAGAGUUUGCUCCUUCUGUUGACUCGCUGUGCUCUGGUGCUGCUCUUUUCCUUCUGGACAUUUAUCUCAUGCAGAGAGAUAAAGGACUACCGUGAGUUCCAACAAGAGCAGCUGGCAGAGCUGGGCAAAGGAUUGAAGAUGAUGGGUAAAGCCCUGGGAGAACUUGAGAAGACACUAAAUGCAGAAAGAGAACAUAAAAAUCAUCUUUCCAAGGAGCUGUCUGAGCUGAAGGCAGAGCUCAGAAUUUCUGAAAAGGAAACAGAGAGAUGGAAAAAGCUGUUUUUUCUAUUGUCCCGGGCACAACACCUUUUGAAGGCCUUCCCGGAAGAUGCAAAGGGGCACUGUGUGCAGGUGGAGCAGGGCCCUUAGAGGCAGGCCCAGGCCUGGGAGCUGGAGAGUUUCUUCCUCCCUGUGCACGCCCCCUAGAGGGGGAGAAGAGGGGUGGGGAGGGAGGGCAAAGCGGAGGCUAGGGUAGGGGUGCUGGGACAGAGACGUGGCCUGAAUUUCAUGAUGUAUGUAUAUUUUGAAUAAAUAAUUGAAUGUUGGAAGG
rnacentral:lncRNA from 1 species